GUGGGGAAUAUUGGACAAUGGGGGGAACCCUGAUCCAGCCAUGCCGCGUGUGUGAAGAAGGCCUUUUGGUUGUAAAGCACUUUAAGCGAGGAGGAGGCUACCGAGAUUAAUACUCUUGGAUAGUGGACGUUACUCGCAGAAUAAGCACCGGCUAACUCUGUGCCAGCAGCCGCGGUAAUACAGAGGGUGCGAGCGUUAAUCGGAUUUACUGGGCGUAAAGCGUGCGUAGGCGGCUUUUUAAGUCGGAUGUGAAAUCCCUGAGCUUAACUUAGGAAUUGCAUUCGAUACUGGGAAGCUAGAGUAUGGGAGAGGAUGGUAGAAUUCCAGGUGUAGCGGUGAAAUGCGUAGAGAUCUGGAGGAAUACCGAUGGCGAAGGCAGCCAUCUGGCCUAAUGCUGACGCUGAGGUACGAAAGCAUGGGGAGCAAACAGGAUUAGAUACCCGUGUAGUCC
rnacentral:rRNA from 1 species